rnacentral:rRNA from 1 species
AGAGUUUGAGUCCUGGCUCAGGAUGAACGCUGGCGGCGUGCCUAACACAUGCAAGUCGAGCGAUUACUUCGGUAAAGAGCGGCGGACGGGUGAGUAACGCGUGGGUAACCUGCCUCAUACACAUGGAUAACAUACCGAAAGGUAUGCUAAUACAGGAUAAUAUAAGAGAUUCACAGUGUAUUUACUUAUACAAGCGUCCGGCGGUAUGAGAUGGACCCCGCGUCUGAUUAGCUAGUUGGUAAGGUAAUGGCUUACCAAGGCGACGAUCAGUAGCCGACCUGAGAGGGUGAUCGGCCACAUUGGAACUGAGACACGGUCCAAACUCCUACGGGAGGCAGCAGUGGGGAAUAUUGCACAAUGGGCGAAAGCCUGAUGCAAGCAACGCCGCGUGAGUGAUGAAGGCCUUCGGGUCGUAAAACUCUGUCCUCAAGGAAGAUAAUGACGGUACUUGAGGAGGAAGCCCCGGCUAACUACGUGCCAGCAGCUGC